UACGAAGGGGGCUAGCGUUGCUCGGAAUCACUGGGCGUAAAGCGCACGUAGGCGGGUCUUUAAGUCAGGGGUGAAAUCCUGGAGCUCAACUCCAGAACUGCCUUUGAUACUGAGGAUCUCGAGUCCGGGAGAGGUGAGUGGAACUCCGAGUGUAGAGGUGAAAUUCGUAGAUAUUCGGAAGAACACCGGUGGCGAAGGCGGGUCUCUGGGCCGAUACUGACGCUGAGGAGCGAAAGCGUGGGGAGCGAACAGG
rnacentral:rRNA from 1 species